rnacentral:ribozyme from 1 species
UGCCCAACAACUCCUACCCCUACCUCCUUGCGGUACUGGCCGGGAUACGAGUAACCUUAGCCUUAGGGAAGAUCGGGUAACCAACCCCGGUGGUAACUUUGAUCGUAUGCUGGCAGGGAAAG